UACAGAGGGGGCAAGCGUUGUUCGGAAUUACUGGGCGUAAAGGGCUCGUAGGCGGCCAACUAAGUCGGACGUGAAAUCCCCAGGCUCAACCUGGGAACUGCGUCCGAUACUGGAUGGCUUGAAUCCGGGAGAGGGAUGCAGAAUUCCAGGUGUAGCGGUGAAAUGCGUAGAUAUCAUGAGGAAUACCAGAGGCGAAGGCGGCUACCUGGACAAUUGCUGACGCUCAGGCACGAAAGCGUGGGGAGCAAAAGGG
rnacentral:rRNA from 1 species